CUGGCUCAGAUUGAACGCUGGCGGCAGGCUUAACACAUGCAAGUCGAGCGGGGAAGAGUAGUUUGCUACUUACCUAGCGGCGGACGGGUGAGUAAUGCUUAGGAAUCUGCCUAUUAGUGGGGGGACAACAUCUCGAAAGGGAUGCUAAUACCGCAUACGUCCUACGGGAGAAAGCAGGGGACCUUCGGGCCUUGCGCUAAUAGAUGAGCCUAAGUCGGAUUAGCUAGUUGGUGGGGUAAAGGCCUACCAAGGCGACGAUCUGUAGCGGGUCUGAGAGGAUGAUCCGCCACACUGGGACUGAGACACGGCCCAGACUCCUACGGGAGGCAGCAGUGGGGAAUAUUGGACAAUGGGGGGAACCCUGAUCCAGCCAUGCCGCGUGUGUGAAAAGAAGGCCUUUUGGUUGUAAAGCACUUUAAGCGAGGAGGAGGCUACCGAGAUUAAUACUCUUGGAUAGUGGACGUUACUCGCAGAAUAAGCACCGGCUAACUCUGUGCCAGCCGCCGC
rnacentral:rRNA from 1 species